rnacentral:rRNA from 1 species
AGUGAAGCGGGAUGAGCUCAAAUUUAAAAUCUGGCUGGUUUACUAGUCCGAAUUGUAGUUUAUAGAAGCGUUUUCGGUGGCAGCCUGGGUAUAAAUCCUUUGGAAUAGGGUAUCAUAGAGGGUGAGAAUCCCGUCUUUGACUCAGUGCAUGCUACUAUGUGAUACGUUUUCAAAGAGUCGAGUUGUUUGGGAAUGCAGCUCAAAAUGGGUGGUAAAUUUCAUCUAAAGCUAAAUAUUGGCGAGAGACCGAUAGCGAACAAGUACCGUGAGGGAAAGAUGAAAAGAACUUUGAAAAGAGAGUUAAACAGUGCGUGAAAUUGUUGAAAGGGAAACGCUUGACACCAGUCAUGCGAGUGGAAAAUCAGUCUUUUGCAAUGGGGAGUUGUGGGCGUUCAGACCGCAAGGCUGGCGUUUGCUUCAUCUUUGUUGUAAGUGAUGCACUUUUUCAUUUGCAGGUCAACAUCAGUUUGCUUUGCUGGACAAAACCCCAAGGGAAGGUGGCAGCUUAGGCUGUGUUAUAGCCCUGGGGCGAUACAGUGGAGUGGACUGAGGUUUUCGCAGUGUGUGCUCUCUGGGCAAGGCUGACUGGGUGCUAUGGGAUCGUUCGGCGUACAAUGCAUGCAUUUUGCGUCGUGUCUUUUUCAUACUCGCUCAACUCGGCUCUUCCACACUUAGGAUGUUGACUUAAUGGUUUUAAUCGACC